rnacentral:rRNA from 1 species
GACGAAGGAUGCGAGCGUUAUCCGGAUUCAUUGGGUUUAAAGGGUGCGUAGGCGGCCCUGUAAGUCAGUGGUGAAAUCUCUCAGCUUAACUGAGAAACUGCCAUUGAUACUGCAGGGCUUGAGUACAGAUGAUGUUGGCGGAAUAUGACAUGUAGCGGUGAAAUGCAUAGAUAUGUCAUAGAACACCGAUUGCGAAGGCAGCUGACAAAACUGUAACUGACGCUGAGGCACGAAAGUGUGGGGAUCAAACAGG